GGGGACUUGGGGCUGGGCAGGGGGCAAUGGGGAGUCAUGUGAGGUGUCUCUGGGGGCCCCCCAAGGCAGUGGGGCCCCCAGACAACUGUCUCCCCUUGCCUAAUGGUAGUUCCACCCAUGGUGGUGCCACAAUUAUGAAUGUUCUCCUUGGGGAAGUCCAUCAGGUCCCAUCUGUGCCUGUGUUUAAAAAGAGGGCACUAACGUCUCUGCUUCUUCAUGAGGACACUUCACUUUUAACCUCUAUUUCAGAGUUCAGCAUUUCUGAGGCCAAUUUGCACUAAUAAACAAAGAGAUAACAGCAGGUGUGUGCAUGACAGAGGGGUUUAAAGGGUUGGUGACAUUUUUUCGCACUGAGGAAGUGAACAUAAGAACAGACCUGCUGGAUCAGGCCCAAGGCCCAUCUAGUCCAGCAUCCUGUCUCACAGAGUGGCCAAGCAGGAGAAAUAAUUCAAGGGAAAGACUUCUGACAAAUCAGCCCAAUGUUGGAGCAGCAGAUCAUGGCAGGCAGGAUGAGCAGCAAGCAAAGGUCUAAAGCAGGUGUGUCCAGUUUAGAUAUACACUGUAGUGAUUGACUACCAGCAACUCCAACAAAACAGAUUGCAGCUUGUGGGGAGUCAUCCUGAAUCUCCCUGUUCUAGCUUCACAGGGUGAAGAUGUGUUCAGUGCAAUUCCCUCAACUGGCCUCCUGGCACAGCACACAAGGCUCCCUGAAUACUUUUGCAGCAUUGACAGCUUGAGAGACCUGCGUGUACCAACUUAUUAAACCAUCAUGUUUACAUUAUCUUCAGAUUCUGCAGGGCUUUCAAGGAAAGAGGGGAUCUGGAUUCUGUUCCCAGAUCUGCCACUGACUUGCUUUGCAACCCAUUCAGCAUGCAAACAUAUGAUUGGAAAAGGUUCCCUUCCUAUCUGCUGUGCUAAAAUGGCUGGGGGUAUUCUGAAUGAUCUAGCGGUGAUGUUUAUUCACCAGGAUGCUUUUUCAUAAGUCUCCAUCUUAAAGCUUACUACGUUGUAAAGCAUUAAUUCUUGUGCAAUUAAUGGUCUUUUAUUAAAAUGACACAGAUGGUCUGCUUAACAUUCAUUUGCAUACUGUUACUUAUUUUAAUGCUACAACCAUUGCAAAUAAUAAUAAUAUUUUUUUUAAAAGCUCCA